rnacentral:piRNA from 1 species
UCCCAAAUCAGCAUAUCCUUGAGACAAUAA